rnacentral:misc_RNA from 1 species
UCUCCGUAGGUGAACCUGCGGAGGGAUCAUUACAGAGUUCAUGCCCUCACGGGUAGAUCUCCCACCCUGUGUUAUUAUACCUUGUUGCUUUGGCAGGCCGCCCGCGUGGGCUACCGGCUCCAGCUGGUAAGUGCCUGCCAGAGGACCCCAAACUCUGAAUAUUUUAUUGUCUGAGUACUAUAUAAUAGUUUAAAACUUUCAACAACGGAUCUCUUGGUCCUG